GGCUCCAAAGUGUAGUGGUUAGUAUGUCUGCUUUACACACAGAAGGUCCUGGGUUCGCACCCCAGGUGGAGCCA
rfam:Pteropus alecto contig31064, whole genome shotgun sequence.